GUGAGUAGGAGUAUGAGGAGGUGCCGUAUUGGCGGACCCCAUCGGAGAUUAGAUCCGAUUGGCCGGGGAGGUUGUAGCGGCCGUGGACGUGGCCGCAGAGGAUUAGGAUGGAGAGGAGGAGGAGGAGUCUGGACAUGGCUGGCUGGAGUGAAGUGGGGCUUCAACAGCAGCGGGACAUAGUGAGACUUGAGAAACGAGGCGGAUGAAAAGGGGGAGAUUUGAUCGUGUGAGGUGGCGACAGGUGAGAGAUAUAGAAGGGGAAAGAGCGCGUUCAGUGUGGGAGACGUGUCGGGGUGUUACGGUGGGGACGAUUUGGUUAGCG
rnacentral:lncRNA from 1 species